CAGGGAGAAAAACAAGCUGGAUACUAUGUGAGUACUCAAUUUAGAUAUGAUGAAUAAAUGUAUAAUGCAAGCAUCUUUAUAAAAAUGGUAGUCUUUUUAUAAAUAUACCUUUCUUUAUCUCUGUCAUAACAUGUAACAAUUAAUGUCAAAUGUUUCUAUGACCUCUACUUCCUUACUCAGCAAUUUUCAGUAUAAUACUCUCCCUCACUCUUGGUGUUAACAUGUUACUGUAAGCAAAGCAUGGAUCCUCCAUUGUUAGUAGAGGGCAGUAGUAUGUUUCCUUUUCAUUUUACAGCAGAUAUACAUUGGUAAUCAUCAAUUAUUAUUAUUUUUUUUUUUUCGAGUGCAGUGGUGCGAUUACGGCUGACUGGCUGACUGGCUGACUGGCUGACUGGCUGACUGCAACCUGCACCUUCUCCUCCACCUCCUAGGUUG
rnacentral:lncRNA from 1 species